AACCCCCCACCAGGGGGGUGUUCCGUGCUGUUGGGGAGUCGCUCCCCCACGUGGGACUGACCCCCGCCCAGUCUCCUACGGGAGGCAGCAGUGGUAUUCUGGACAAUGAGGCAACCUGAUCCAGCAAUGCCGAGUGAUGAAGAAGCCUUUCGGAUAUAAAGCACUUUGUCAGAACGAAAUCGCUUCGGUUAAUACCUGGAGUGGAUGACGGUACCGGAAGAAUAAGGACCGACUAACUACCUGCCAGCAGCCGCGGUAAUACGUAGGCUCCAAGCGUUAAUCGGAAUUACUGGGCGUAAAGCGUGCGCAGGCUGUUGUGCAAGACCGAUGUGAAAUCCCCGCGCUUAACGUGGGAAUUGCAUUGGUGACUGCACAGCUAGAGUGUGUCAGAGGGAGGUAGAAUUCCACGUGUAGCAGUGAAAUGCGUAGAGAUGUGGACGAAUACCGAUGGCGAAGGCAUCCUCUUGGGAUAACACUGACGCUCAUGCACGAAAGCGUGGGGAGCAAACAGGAUUAGCUACCCUGGUCGUCCACGCCCUAAACGAUGUCAACUAGUUGUUGGGGAUUCAUUUCCUUAGUAACGUAGCUAACGCGUGAAGUUGACCGCCUGGGGAGUACGGUCGCAAGAUUAAAACUCAAAGGAAUUGACGGGGACCCGCACAAGCGGUGGAUGAUGUGGAUUAAUUCGAUGCAACGCGAAAAACCUUACCUACCCUUGACAUGCCACUAACGAAGCAGAGAUGCAUUAGGUGCUCGAAAGAGAAAGUGGACACAGGUGCUGCAUGGCUGUCGUCAGCUCGUGUCGUGAGAUGUUGGGUUAAGUCCCGCAACGAGCGCAACCCUUGUCUCUAGUUGCUACGAAAGGGCACUUUAGAGAGACUGCCGGUGACAAACCGGAGGAAGGUGGGGAUGACGUCAAGUCCUCAUGCCCCUUAUGGGUAGGGCUUCACACGUCAUACAAUGGUGCAUACAGAGGGUUGACAAGCCGCGAGGUGGAGCUAAUCCCAGAAACUGCAUCGUAGUCCGGAUCGUAGUCUGCAACUCGACUACGUGAAGCGGGAAUCGCUAGUAAUCGGGGAUCAGCAUGCCGCGGUGAAUACGUUCCCGGGUCUUGUACACACCGCCCGUCACACCAUGGGAGUGGGUUCGCCAGAAGUAGUUAGCCUAACCGUCAAGGAGGCCAGAUUACCUCCGGCAGGUCAAUGGG
rnacentral:rRNA from 1 species